rnacentral:lncRNA from 1 species
CUGCAGGGAGGCCUAGAGGAUUCCCCGGAGCAAGGGGCGGAGAGCCCGGGCCGCUCUGCCUGGUGUGGGAGGGGUGGGAAGAGCAGCAGCGGAGGAAUCACUGCCCCUGCGACUUCUCCGAAAAUGGCUCCGUGGCCUCCAGGAAGCCGGUUGCCCGCUGGGAAGGAGGCCGGGCUGGGCAGCUGCAGGUCGAGGGCCCCGGAGAAAGGAAAGGCCGCGUGGGGACCCUGCGGGGACAGAUCUGUGAUCCCUCAUGUCCUGGGAGCCGGGCCCGGCCGCCAGGCUGCGUGGGCCGGGAAGAGAAUCAGCAUCACUGUGGAGUGAGGGGCCUCUGCCAGCCAAUCGUGCUGACAUGAAAACACACAAAACCGCCAUCCACAGAUGUGCACACACGCACGCCUCGCCAACACAGCUUCAGCUCAUUUGCAAAACCCAAAGCUGCUUGCAGGUGAGCUGGUGAACGAGAAGCAGGAAGAGGAAGCUCUUGAGGAAACAGUCAGCUCCGCCCCUGCGAGAAUGAGGCCGAACCCAAACCGCAGUGGAAAUGUCAGCACUGAGGAGGCGCAUCGCGGCUUGGCUUGUGGUGGACCCACUGCAUUUAUUGUAACUGGGUAACCCGAGUCUGUCCUGUCCCCAGUCCCCAGCACCACUGCCCCAUUCUAACAGGGUCAGCCAAGUUAAUUCUGCUAUGGAAAAGUGAAAGGAAAAGAGACACCAUAUUAAAGAAUCUUACCACAGUGAUAUAUGCACACCCAUGUUCAUAGCGGCACAGUGCAUAAUAGCUAAAGCUUGGAAACAGCCCAAGUGCCCGUCAACUGGAAACUAGAUAAAGAAGAUGUGGGUUUUUUUAUAAAAUGGAGUACUACUCAGCCAAAGGAAUGAGAAACUAGAGGCAUUUUAUAGCUAAAUGGAUGCAUAUUGAGGCCAUCCUCUUAAGUGAAAUAAAUAGGACACACACACGUGUAAAUACCGAAUCGUUUCUCUAGUGUGAGAAACUGAAACUGUAAUUAAGGAUUAAAAUGCUUAAAAUGAAUAAUGGAUAAUUUGAAAUAAGAAGAAAAGGUCCAAAGGGGUUGGGGAAGUAGGAGGGGUAAGGGAAAGGAAAAAUGAGAAAUGGAAAAAAUGGAAACAAAGUCUUUGUAAAUAGGGAAGGGUGGAGGGGUGCAGGGAGGACAGGGAAUGGGGAAAAAAUAAGAACCAAGAUGCAUCAUGCACAGGUACAAGCACCCAAUGAUAAAUGUAAAUGUAUUGUAUACCUAAAAUGUACCAAUAAAAGAAUUUAAGCAAAAAAAGACUAUAUUUACUACAAUAACAGAAGGAAAGCCCAGGAACUAAGGGUGUAUGAAGUUGAAAGAGAAAGCCGGAUCUGGGAGUCACACCCAUGCUCCCAGCAUUUGGGAGGCUGAGGCAGGAGGACUGUGUCAAGGUUGAGGCCAGCCUGGGCUGCAUAGUG